rnacentral:rRNA from 1 species
GUCUCAAAGAUUGAGCCAUGCAUGUCUAAGUAUAAGCAAUCUAUACUGUGAAACUGCGAAUGGCUCAUUAAAUCAGUCAUAAUUUAUUUGAUAGUACCUUACUACAUGGAUAACUGUGGUAAUUCUAGAGCUAAUACAUGCUAAAAACCCCGACUUCGGAAGGGGUGUAUUUAUUAGAUAAAAAACCAAUGC